UAAGUGUCUGUUGCAUAAACCUUGCUAGAGCUUUUAUCCUGUUACAGGGUUGUAGGUAGCCUGGAGCUUCUCUAACAAAAUAAUCUGGCCUGCUGGGAAGUAUUCGUGAAGGACAAGAAGGGAGACGGGAAAGGUUAAGAAGGAGCCAGUAUCUCCAGGAGUCAAAGAGAGCUCUGCCAGUGUGAAGUGUAAAUUCUUGAGAGGCUGUGGCAAGGGUCCAUGCCUGAAUGUGUAGAGCAAGAACAGCUGGAGACUGUUGGCUUUCUCCAGGAAGAAGUUUCUAAAUUUGCCUCUUAGAAGAUAUCAGAGAGUUCCAGUUUCAGUUUCUCUUGUUGCCACCAUGUAAGAAGUACCUUUUGCCUCCCACCAUGAUUCUAAGGCCUCCCUAGCCACGUGGAACUAACACAAUUUUGCUUGGAGUAUCAAUAUAUUCAACUAAAUACUCAUGUUCCUGGUCUCCAUCACUGCUAAUGAGGCUCUGUGAUCCAGUUCUGGCAAAUGGGAAGUAAGCAGAAGUCUGCUGGGGGCUUCUGGGAAGCUUUUCUCUUUCCUGAUAAAAUAAGACACACAUAGCUAGAUUAAAUCUCUCGACCUGCCCCUGCUUCUUUCUGUUUUAAGUCUACAACCUAAGACAGAAAUGUUAUGGCUAGAGCGAUAUAGCAGCCACCUUAGAAACACAAGGCAAUGAGCCAAUCUGCAAAGAAAGGCAGAGUUGAAAGCUAGAGAGAACCUGGAGUCCUGGUGGCAUUGCUGAACAGUUGAAUCAUUCCCAGCAACUGCCUACCUCUGUAAUUUCAGUUAUAUGGGGAAAAAUAAACUAUUUGUUUAAGCUGUGAGUAGAUGGGUGUUUAGUUACUUGCAGCUGUAAGCCUUCCUAAUCCCAUGUUUCAGUUAAGGAAAUAAAAGGCUAAGUAACUUACUAAAAUAUAUAUGAUCCUUCAGUGGUGAUAUUGUGAUUUGAACUUACAUCAUCUGAUCUAGAGUUGGAGCUUACUCUCUUACACAUGGUUCUAUAUCACAUUCCCCUUGUGCUAUACUACAAAGUCUACUUAUGAGUUUUUCAGGAAAUAAACUUGAUCUUGAGCCUCCUUCUUACUUCUUCUUCUCACAGAUGCCAGUAUGAUACAUCUAAAGCCAGAUCUGACCUUCUCACUUUCUUGCUUAAAACCAUCAACAAUAUUUCUUUCUGUAGAGCUGGGAUGUAACCUCAACUGUCUUGAGAGCCAGGUAGGUAAAAUAAUUGAUAGAGACAAGCAGAUCAUAAGAAAAUCAAUUUUGUUGGUGUAUUAGUUAUCUACUGCUGUGUAACAAAUUGCCCCACAAACUUAGCAGCUUAAAACAACAAAUGCUCAUUUCCUGUAUGGUUUCUGAGGGUCAGGAAUCUGGGAGCAGCUUAGCUGAAUGGUUCUGGCUCAGGUCUUUCAUGAGUUUGCAGUCAAGAUGUUGAUGGGGGCUUCAAUCAUCUGAAUGCUAGAAUGGAGCUGGAAGUUCUGCUUCAAAAAGACUCAUUCCCAUGGUGAUUGCUGGAAGCUUCAGUUUGUCACCAUGUGGGUCUCUCCUCACAACAUGUCAGCUGUUUUCCUCCAGAGCAAGUAAUCUAAGAAAGGCAGAAUGACAGCUAGCCUGGGAAAUGGAAUAACAUCACUUCUGUCAUAUUUCAUUGGCCAAACAUAUCAAACCUGAUACAGUGUGAGAGGGGACUGUACAAGGAUGUGGUUACUAGGAAGAGAGGAUCAGUGGGGACCAGCUUGGAGGCUGACAACAACAGGUAGAUAUUGGACAAAAGGGUGAUAUUUGCUAUUUAACUUCAGCCAAUUGUUCCACUAUGUGGAAUACAGGUCUUAUGUUAUUGGAUUUUCCCAUUUCUCAAAUAAAGUCAGAAAUACAAAUUUCUGAGUUAUAUCCCAUGAUAGUAAAUGCUGGCUGAGAAUUGCAAAAAAUCCUGUGCAGGUCAAAUAAAAUACAGAUGCCAUUCAGAUAUGGCCGGUGAGUUGCCAUUUUGCAACCUCUCUGACCCAUAGCCUGGAAAACAUAUGUAGGUCCAAUUCCAAUCUGUGAUACUGCCUGAAGUGAUAUUUUCAGUAGGAUUUUGAAGACAAGUCUGGGCCUAGCUAGGAAUGUACCAUGGUAAUUUAGUAAUGUCUUCCAUGGAUAAAGAGGGGAGAGUGAUGACAUAUGUGCCUCAGAUUGACACAGAUGGCUAUAAUUCACUACCCAAACUAGGAUACUUUUGAGAGUAAAAGGAGGUGCUAUAUUAAUUAUGCUGACAUAGUGACCGUAAAUUAGGACUGACUCAGGCAAACCAGGAUGUGUGGUCACCACCUGCACCGCCCUUAAUGAAACCUUCCCACUUCUGAACCCCACUGCCCAUACUCCUGCUGUUCCCCCGCUCAUCCUGUCUUCUCUUUCCCACUUAUCUGCUUCCUCCUGGAGUUCAACUUCUUUAAGUUCCAGUGGAAGUAUCACUUUUUUCCCGUUGUCUUCACCUCCUCCCCUCCUUUUCAGGUGAAUCGGUCUUUUACCAGAGUUUUGUAGUAUUUUAUACAUAUCUUUAAUGCAGCAUUUCUGACAGCAACCUACGCACAGGGGCCAGUGAUUAAAUCCUAAAUACUCAUUUAGGAUUCUCAGUACCUAUCUCAGCAUCUGGCAUAAAGUAGGUGCUUGAUGAUAAUUUAUUGGAAUUUUAUUUUGAAUCUCACCUCCCCUCUUUUUCUCUAACACCCUCUGCAGGAGAUGAUAAUGAAUAGUAAAAAAUGCCAAGCAGACAAUAAGCAGGAGGAACAGAGGAAAUCCACAAAUUGGAUAAUUGUUUCUUACGUAACUGACCAUCAAUCUAAAUAGUGGUUGCAGUAAUUUCAGAUUCUUCUCUUCCUUUUCACUUCAGGCUUUCAUUUGGUCUCUUUUCAAAUGAGAAGACCCAGAAAACUUGGAUCCACUUCUGGCUCUGAUCUUUCUGGGCAAUGUGAUUUAGAUUUAAUUUCACUGGAUUGUAACUGAAGAGUUUGGGGAAAGUUCCUGGCCUUCUAUGUUGUACAGAGGAAUAGCCUGAAAGACAGCCUUUCUGAGCAUCACCACAUGUAAACGGAUCUGGAAGCUUUGAACUCAUUGAGCUGACAUGUUAGAAGUCAGUCUACACUGAAGCUGCCAUGCUGAAGAACUCAUGUGCGAGAACACAUAGAAAUCGAGAUGCCUGAGGAGCCCCAGCUGUACUAGCCUCCAGCUUUCUGAGUCUUCUCAGCAAGAACUGUCAAACAUGAGAGUGAAGCAGCGUUCAGAUGACUCUGGCCCCAGUCUUCAGGUACCCUAGCUGGUGCCAAGUGGAGCAGACAAGCUGCCACCCACCAAGCCCUUCCCAAAUUGCAGACUAGGAGCAGAAUAAAUGUUAUUUUAAGCCACUAAAUUUUGGUUUGUUAUAUAUUGUAGCAAUAGAAAAUCAGAACCCCUUUUUUUAAUGCCACUGUUAGUUGGAUAUUCUGUUACUUGCAGCCAAAAGCAUCCCUAUCUGAAAUACUUAGUAGUAGAGAAGAUUAAAAUAAAUCACUAAAAC